rnacentral:lncRNA from 1 species
UCAUAAAUCCUUGAUUAAAAUCGGAAGAUUUUUAAAAAGGAAAUUUGGGGAAAAUGUUUAAAACAUCUCAUAUAGCACAGAUCAAGCCCAGAUCUAAACAAAUAAAUGUAAAAGAACCUCGAAUAGGCUAGCGUUUUUGAGAACCCUAGAAACGAGAAAGGCUUGGAAGAAACAAGACCAGAUCUGGAGUCGAUAAGGUCAGAAUCAUGCUCAGGAGGCUAAGACACACCGGAGCAAGGCCGGAGAUGGCUAAACAACUCGAAUCGACGAGUUCUGAGGGAUUCCCUUGAACUCGGGCCUCAAACCUUCAGGUAUCAAGCACGUGAGAGCGGUAGGAGGUGAGUAUAGGUCGCCUAUGGCUUGAACGGCCAUCGACUCCGGUGGUUUUGGGGUUGAAAGAGGCAGAGAAGAGAAUGAUUCGGGUUUUGAGAGAGUUCGAGAGCGUAUAAGAGAACAGAAGAGUU